AAAGUCCAAAUCAUUUUAUUAGAGGACUUUGACCGUUCAGAUUACAAAGAGGUGAGGCGACACGCACUCAGCAGAACUCCAGCAUGUCUCCACUGCCCAAUGACCUGUUCAACAGUGCUGCCUCAUCAGCAGAGAAUAUUUUAGCUAAUCAAUCUGGUGCUACUUCCAAAGACAUUGUCAUGGCUGUGGCUUGUGGCUUGGCUGGGCUGGUUGUUGGUGGUUUGAUGGUCGGCGGAUUUUUAUACUAUAAAUA